UACGGAGGGGGCUAGCGUUGUUCGGAAUUACUGGGCGUAAGCGCGCGUAGGCGGCUUUGUAAGUUAGAGGUGAAAGCCCGGAGCUCAACUCCGGAAUUGCCUUUAAGACUGCAUCGCUAGAAUCAUGGAGAGGUGAGUGGAAUUCCGAGUGUAGAGGUGAAAUUCGUAGAUAUUCGGAAGAACACCAGUGGCGAAGGCGAACUCAC
rnacentral:rRNA from 1 species